rnacentral:rRNA from 1 species
UAGUUGGUGGAGUGAUUUGUCUGGUUAAUUCCGUUAACGAACGAGACCUUAGCCUAUUAAAUAGUGCCGCGAACACCUUGUUGGCGGUUCACUUCUUAGAGGGACAACUUGUCUUCAACAAGUGGAAGUUUGAGGCAAUAACAGGU